UACUUCUUUGGGGUGAUUUUAUUGGUUGG
rnacentral:piRNA from 1 species